UUGCUCACUUCAGCAGCACAUCUACUAAAAUUGGAACAAUAUAGAAAAGAUUAGCACCGUCCCUGCAUAGGAAUGACAUUGCAAAUUUAUAAAGUAGUCCAUAUUUUU